ACACCCUCAAGCUUUUGCUUGGUGUUGGGCGUCUGUCCUCCGGGACUCGCCUCAAGGGUAUUGGCAGCGGUCCUGUCGGGCCUCCUAAUCGCGCAGCACUGUUCGCGCCUCUUGGAGCCUGUACGGGAAUUCAGCUACUCCAUCAAGCCCUUCCAUCUUCAG
rnacentral:misc_RNA from 1 species